UGCCGCGGUGAAUACGUUCCCGGGCCUUGUACACACCGCCCGUCAAACCAUGAAAGUGACCAACACCCGAAGUCCGAUUCGUCGGCCUAAGGUGGGGGGCAUGAUUGGGGUU
rnacentral:rRNA from 1 species